UACGAUACGAUGUGGAACAUGAGUGAAUAUCUACGAAUUGACCCUAAUGUGGGUUAUUAAGAUGGCUACUCGCUUGCGAAUUAUACGUUUAAAAUGAGUGUAAUUUUCUUUAUAAACAUUAAAAUUGGCAUAAAUUAAGUUUUUUUUUUUAAAUAUAUAAUAAUAAUUCGUCGAUCAAAAUAAUGUCGUCUGAGAGCGACGUUGAAGAAUUUUAUGACGCCGAAGAGAAACCUUUAACUCCCGUUAAGUCAAUCAAAUCAGAUGUUGAAAAUAUUCAGAAAAUAGAUGAAAAUGUACAAAGCAGUAAAGAAGAAACUACUACUAAGACUGAUGAUUUAUCAUUGGUUUACAAGAUGGAAGAAGAAAUAAAGGUAAAAUUAAAGAUAGUAAA